rnacentral:rRNA from 1 species
CCGGAGAACCAUCCAACUUCUUUGAAUUGAUGUCGUCCGAGUCCGAUCGAAUCGAACUGAAAACUUUCAACAACGGAUCUCUUGGUUCUGGCAUCGAUGAAGAACGCAGCG